UGGCAUGCCAAGAAAGGAGAUCAUGCCAGCUGUGGCAGAAGCAUUUUGCCUGCAUCCAACUUUGAGUAUUAAAUUCACCAUUCCCGUUUGUGUUUUUAUGUGAAGCUAAGCUUGUAAAUCCGCCAGCUUUGAUAGCCACAGUCUUUGCAAUUACAUUUGCUCCACU